AGCGAACGCUGGCGGCAGGCCUAACACAUGCAAGUCGAACGAACCUUUCGGGGUUAGUGGCGGACGGGUGAGUAACACGUGGGAACGUGCCUUUAGGUUCGGAAUAACUCAGGGAAACUUGUGCUAAUACCGAAUGUGCCCUUCGGGGGAAAGAUUUAUCGCCUUUAGAGCGGCCCGCGUCUGAUUAGCUAGUUGGUUGAGGUAAUGGCUCACCAAGGCGACGAUUAGUAGCUGGUCUGAGAGGAUGAUCAGCCACAUUGGGACUGAGACACGGCCCAAACUCCUACGGGAGGCAGCAGUGGGGAAUCUUGCGCAAUGGGCGAAAGCCUGACGCAGCCAUGCCGCGUGAAUGAUGAAGGUCUUAGGAUUGUAAAAUUCUUUCACCGGGGACGAUAAUGACGGUACCCGGAGAAGAAGCCCCGGCUAACUUCGUG
rnacentral:rRNA from 1 species